GAUGAACGCUGGCGGCGUGCUUAACACAUGCAAGUCGAACGAUGAAGCCCAGCUUGCUGGGUGGAUUAGUGGCGAACGGGUGAGUAACACGUGAGUAACCUGCCCUUAACUCUGGGAUAGGCCUGGGAAACUGGGUCUAAUACCGGAUAGGAGCGCCUACCGCAUGGUGGGUGUUGGAAAGAUUUAUCGGUUUUGGAUGGACUCGCGGCCUAUCAGCUUGUUGGUGAGGUAAUGGCUCACCAAGGCGACGACGGGUAGCCGGCCUGAGAGGGUGACCGGCCACACUGGGACUGAGACACGGCCCAGACUCCUACGGGAGGCAGCAGUGGGGAAUAUUGCACAAUGGGCGAAAGCCUGAUGCAGCGACGCCGCGUGAGGGAUGACGGCCUUCGGGUUGUAAACCUCUUUCCGUAGGGAAGAAGCGAAAGUGACGGUACCUGCAGAAGAAGCACCGGCUAACUACGUG
rnacentral:rRNA from 1 species